rnacentral:rRNA from 1 species
AGAGUUUGAUCCUGGCUCAGGAUGAACGCUGGCGGCGUGCCUAAUACAUGCAAGUCGAGCGAACGGACGAGAAGCUUGCUUCUCUGAUGUUAGCGGCGGACGGGUGAGUAACACGUGGAUAACCUACCUAUAAGACUGGGAUAACUUCGGGAAACCGGAGCUAAUACCGGAUAAUAUUUUGAACCGCAUGGUUCAAAAGUGAAAGACGGUCUUGCUGUCACUUAUAGAUGGAUCCGCGCUGCAUUAGCUAGUUGGUAAGGUAACGGCUUACCAAGGCAACGAUGCAUAGCCGACCUGAGAGGGUGAUCGGCCACACUGGAACUGAGACACGGUCCAGACUCCUACGGGAGGCAGCAGUAGGGAAUCUUCCGCAAUGGGCGAAAGCCUGACGGAGCAACGCCGCGUGAGUGAUGAAGGUCUUCGGAUCGUAAAACUCUGUUAUUAGGGAAGAACAUAUGUGUAAGUAACUGUGCACAUCUUGACGGUACCUAAUCAGAAAGCCACGGCUAACUACGUGCCAGCAGCCGCGGUAAUACGUAGGUGGCAAGCGUUAUCCGGAAUUAUUGGGCGUAAAGCGCGCGUAGGCGGUUUUUUAAGUCUGAUGUGAAAGCCCACGGCUCAACCGUGGAGGGUCAUUGGAAACUGGAAAACUUGAGUGCAGAAGAGGAAAGUGGAAUUCCAUGUGUAGCGGUGAAAUGCGCAGAGAUAUGGAGGAACACCAGUGGCGAAGGCGACUUUCUGGUCUGUAACUGACGCUGAUGUGCGAAAGCGUGGGGAUCAAACAGGAUUAGAUACCCUGGUAGUCCACGCCGUAAACGAUGAGUGCUAAGUGUUAGGGGGUUUCCGCCCCUUAGUGCUGCAGCUAACGCAUUAAGCACUCCGCCUGGGGAGUACGACCGCAAGGUUGAAACUCAAAGGAAUUGACGGGGACCCGCACAAGCGGUGGAGCAUGUGGUUUAAUUCGAAGCAACGCGAAGAACCUUACCAAAUCUUGACAUCCUUUGACAACUCUAGAGAUAGAGCCUUCCCCUUCGGGGGACAAAGUGACAGGUGGUGCAUGGUUGUCGUCAGCUCGUGUCGUGAGAUGUUGGGUUAAGUCCCGCAACGAGCGCAACCCUUAAGCUUAGUUGCCAUCAUUAAGUUGGGCACUCUAAGUUGACUGCCGGUGACAAACCGGAGGAAGGUGGGGAUGACGUCAAAUCAUCAUGCCCCUUAUGAUUUGGGCUACACACGUGCUACAAUGGACAAUACAAAGGGCAGCGAAACCGCGAGGUCAAGCCAAUCCCAUAAAGUUGUUCUCAGUUCGGAUUGUAGUCUGCAACUCGACUACAUGAAGCUGGAAUCGCUAGUAAUCGUAGAUCAGCAUGCUACGGUGAAUACGUUCCCGGGUCUUGUACACACCGCCCGUCACACCACGAGAGUUUGUAACACCCGAAGCCGGUGGAGUAACCUUUUAGGAGCUAGCCGUCGAAGGUGGGACAAAUGAUUGGGGUGAAGUCGUAACAAGGUAGCCGUAUCGGAAGGUGCGGCUGGAUCACCU